AGCGCCCAGGUGGAUCCCCGCUCCCAGGCUCGCUCUCAGCGCCUCUGCUCGCAGCGAUGGGCCCCGGGUGGAUCCGGGCCUGGCACGGACCAGACGCUGCUGCCGCCGCCGUCGUGAGCCGGACCCGGCUGGGAGCUUCUGCCCCCGGGAGAAUAAACCAUCCCUCAUUCAGACUGGUCCAGAAGCAACCCUGCAGACCCACCUCCUUGUAUUUGAGGCCGAGAAAUCCAGAAAAGAAAACCGUGUUGUGUUUUUAGAAACUAGAAAGGAACUCUUCCCGAAGCCCACAUAUAAAUGAACUUUUAAAUUUGCUCCUUUCAUAUUUAAGGGGACAGAAUAAAAACUGGUCCCAGUUCCCAGGGAAAUCAUGUCUUGUUUAUACUAAUCUGGAAUAUAUCUGGGGAUGGGCACUAUAUAAAAUCAAAUUUUCCAUACUACAAAUCUGUAAAAUGCAAAAGGUUUGUUUAUAGAAUUUUCUAUAUCGUUUCAUUAUUUUUUUUGGAUAAAGAAAAUAUUAAAAAUCAUCUUCAGUA